rnacentral:lncRNA from 1 species
GCUCCGCCUCCCGGGUUCACGCCAUUCUCCUGCCUCAGCCUCCCAAGUAGCUGGGACUACAGGUGCCCGCCACUACGCCCGGCUAAUUUUUUGUAUUUUUAGUAGAGACGGGGUUUCACCGUUUUAGCCGGGAUGGUCUCGAUCUCCUGACCUCGUGAUCCGCCCGCCUCGGCCUCCCAAAGUGCUGGGAUUACAGGCGUGAGCCACCGCGCCCGGCCUCAUUUGUUAUGUUCUAUAAAACCCAUAGUUAUGUUCUAUAAAACAUUUGCCAUGGUUAUGUUCUAUAAAAUCAUCCCAAAUGCUAAAUUAGAGAAUAGUGAAUCACUGCCCCUAAGGGAAAUACAGUGUUAGGUUCCUGCCAGGCUCUGGUCACAUUUUCAUCAACUGGUCAAUACAUAACCUCUUCUAUGUGUAUUUCUGUUAAAGAUACCUUAAUAAUAUAUAUUGUUGAUUCACUGACAUUGAACUCAUAGCCAACAGAACUAUGACUCAUGCCUGAAUGAAGCUUACCUAACACCUGAAUUUUCUCUGUAAGGCACAUCACAGCCUUCUUGUGCUUAGCAACACUAGACAGCACUUUAGCACUAUGCUUAGAGGCCAUUUUAAAUAGUAAAGUCACCAAUAAAAAAAAAGCACAAAAAUACAAAAAUGUGGCACUAAAUGGACCAUGAAAAGGAGACUUGUUUAAAAGUAUGAGAGCUGAAACAUGAGGGCAGACCACUGACUUGUUCAACCUCAGCUAGUUCAUUUUUUGUGUGUGUAGAGAUGGUGGGAGGGGUUGCACUAUGUUGCCCAGGCUGGUCUUGAACUCCUGGCCUCAAGCAAUCCUUCUGCCUCAGCCUCCCAAGGUGGUGGGAUUACAGAUGUGAGCCUCUGUGCAAAGCUCAGCUAGUUCUUAAAUAUUUUGCCACUCUGAACAUGCGUAUGUCUAAAAAUGACCUUGAAAGCAUUUCAAGUAUUGCUUUUGGGGUUACAAAUACAUUUCGGUGAGUAGGCAAAUUCAUAAAUACAGAACUGACAAAUAAUGAGAAUCAACUGUAUAAUAAUAUCAUUACUGAGAAUCUUCUGCAUUAACCAUAAUCAGUUAAAAAAUUGUUUUUGAACAACGGUAACAUUAAUGAGUACACAGGCACCAAAGUUAAUACCUUUGAAGGGAUAUUUGUUAUAUAUAAAGCAAAUAGGGCAUGUGUGUAGGUGUAUUUCCCUCUUCCCUACUCCAGGAGCCCUUCACCUAGCUUACUUCUGCUUUGAGACUCACCCUGUAGAUGGGCUUCUGUGAAGCCCAAACUUGGGUUAGAUUCCCCGGACCUUGAGCUCCUACACUUCCCCCCAUAUCUCCACUGUAUUACACAUCACCUUACAUAACCAUCUGUGUGUUUAUGCCUCAUCCACUGGAUUGUAACCAGCGGGGUCCUGUUUUAUUUCUAGAACAAGGCGUUUACAAUAUAUUGCUGUUCAAUAAACUUUUACUGAAUGAAUGAAUCACAAAGAGAUGAGAAAUAACAAGAACCUAAAGUAGGAUGACUAUGAUAUAACCAGACCAACAGGUAGGAUUAAGUAGUAAGAAAUAGCAUCUGUAUAAUUUGCCCAUCAGCUGGAUGUAGAGAAGAGGAAGGAUUUCAGACUGCCCAUUUCUGGAUUGACAAAGGUGUGCACAGUUGUGCUACUAAUGAAAGUAUAGAAUAUAAGAAGAGUACUUUUUAAGUGUAAAGACAAGUUCUACUGUGAACAUUCCUGUAACCUUAUUAAUAACCCCUUCAUCUAUGCUACUUCAAUAGUUGGUAAGUUUUGCUGCAUAAGACUGCAUUCCUAGUUAUCUAUUUCUCUGGCUAACUACCUCAUUAAAAUGUAAGAUAAUAUAAGGUAAAUUUUAUUUAAUUUUUGACUCACCAAAAACCAACACAACAAUAUUCAUUUGAAUUGAACGUGGAUGAAGACAUCCAGGAGAUAUUCUGAACUGGAGCUUAGAAAUAUUAGUUGGAGACAAAUAUUUAGAAAGGAUCCUAAUGCAAGUGAUAUUUUAUAGUGUGAAGGAGGAACAAUUUUUGGAAAGAAUCAAAGACAGAACUUUGGGAUGACCAGCAUUUAAGGGGCACAUCAAUCAACAGGAGACAAUAAAAAAGACAGAAGGAACCAUCAGAGAUCAACCAGGUGAGAAUGCUACGGCAGACACUGCUGGUUACAUACCAAAGAACCAUUCAUAUCUUCUUUCUAGCUAACAGAUAUCUUCUCCCAGAAAUAGAGUAAUGAACUCAAGGAAGGUGAGAGCAUCCCCCAGUCUCUUGGGGAUGGCUCAGGGUUGAUUUAAAUCAAUCACAGUAGUAUUUCCUUUGCCAGUGAUUGUUUAAGGGCAGACAUGUGACAUGGUUCUAGCCAAUGAGAUGUAAGAGAGAUGUUCUGGGGAUUUUCCUCCCUAUAAGGAGAUAUCCACCAAGGAGAAACCCCAGCACUGCAUCCUGUUUUUGAAUAAUGAAAUUCUUACAAUCCUAAAGGUAGACGUCUAUGACACAGUGAAAACGGCAGAAUACAAAGACAGUAAGAGCCUAACUUGACAGUGUUGCAUCUCUAAAUCAAUCUUGGAACUACCUAUCAUUGGACUUAAGAGAUUCUCUUACUUGGAGCUGAAGGCAUCCUGACACCACUAGUGUCCAAAAACCAAAAGACAGAAGCUAUUUCAUGAGGGAUACAGAAAAGUAAAUAAAGAUGAUAGAAAAGUAUCUGUAAGAGUGAGAAUGAUUUUGGCUUCAGUAGUAAUAGUUAAUCCUGGUGAGCCCUCAAAAAAAUAUUAACCUAAAAACACAUGUAUCCUCAUUUAGUCUCUCAGAAUUCUAUGAGGUAGAUAGAAUUGUGACCAAUAAAAGCUAGAAUGUGGUAAAUUGAACAUUAAGAGGGAAAUGAAAAUGAAAUGGUAAAUUUAAAUAUUUCUAACAAGUUGUCUGAAGGAGAUAGACUUGUAAUAAGGAAAGGAUAAAAGAGGUUUUAAGAUAGUCCAGAGAAGAAGAAAACAAUAUAGAGGAGGAUAUUUAAAAACAUGUAAGACAUAUAAUAAAAGAAAUAAUUGCUUAAAUGACAUCUCAAAGAAGAUAAAAUUUGAUACGAUUUGAUACCAAGAGUACCAGUAGAUGAGACGUGAAUAAAAUUAGAGGUGGGCUCUGAGAGCAAAAGGAAGUAGACGACGACAAUUUAUAAAUUUGAAAGUAAAAGGACUAGGAAGACCAAGAAGUUCAUACACAGUAUCAAUACUCUGUUUAAAAAGAGAGGAGUGGGGGGACAUCCACUGCUAAGGAUUCAGAGUAAAGUAGGGUGUUUGAUAAGAAUGGUGGUAGUUCAGUAUGUCAAUUAUGGAAAAUAGGGAAGCAGCUGAUCAGAAACAAACAAUUACUAAAUCCCACUAAGGACCCAGCUGAAACCAGAAUGAAUGAACAUUCAUUUACUCACAAAUUUUUAUUAAGGACCUUUCAUAUGCCAAGGCACCUUUCUAGGUGCUAGGGAUACAGUAUGAACAAAAAUCCCUGCCUCAUUCUCUGUACAUUCUAGUAGGGGGAGAUACAAUAAAAAUUUUUAAAUACUGUAAGUUGUGUUAGACGGUGAUAAAAGCUAAGAAAAAUAAAGCAGAAAAUGUAAAUAAGGAGAUUCAAAAUUUAGAUAGGGUAGCCAGAAAUGAUUUCAGAGAAAAUGAUAUUAGCACUACAAUCUGAAAGGAAAGGAGGAAAGCUAUGCAUCCAUAUGGUAGAACUUAUUGGAUAGAGGGAAAUAUCAAACACCAAAGCCUAGAAGUGAGGGAAUGCAAGGCAUCUUUGAGGAACCGCAAGGUGGCUGAGUCAGAAUGAUAGAGAUGGUGAAGGGGUUGAAAGAUGGUCAGAGAAAUAACAGAUGCAAUACAGAGGCUUGUAGGCCACUAAAGACUUUGACUUACAUUCUGAGGGAAGAUACAAUGCCAUUGGAGAGUUUUACGCGAAUGAUAGGUCACUUUGAUUCUUAACAGCGUGGGAAAGACGGUGGGCAAGGGUGGAAGACCAAUAAGAACUGAUGGGCACAGUGGCUCAGACCUGUAAUCCCAGCACUUUGGAAUGCUGAGGCAGGAGGAUAGCUUGAGGCCACGAGUUUCAGACUAGCCUGGACAAUAUAACAAUACUCUGCCUCUACAAAAGAUAAAAAAUGUCAGCCAGAUAUGGUGGCACAUGCCUGUAACCCUAGCUACUCAGAAGGCCGAGGCAAGAUUGCUUGAGCACAGGAGUUUGAGGUUACAGUGAGCUCUGAUUAUACACUGCACUCAAGCCUGAGUGACCAAGUGAGACACUGUCUGGGGGGGGGGGGAAAUACACACACACACAUAUAUAUAUAAUGUAUGCAUAUAUAUUAUGUAUAUAUAUAAUGUAUGCAUAUAUAUUAUGUAUAUAUAUAAAAUCUUUAUGUAUAUAUAUGUACAUAUAUAAAAUAUAUAUACAUAUAUACAUAUGGCUUAGGGUGCCAAAGACUAAACAAACUCAAAAAAGGUUAAAGAAUUUGGCAAGGUCACUGAAGUAGCAAUAUACAUAUAUAUUCAGGUGGUUUGGACCAUGAUGUAGCAGUGGAGGUGAUGAGAAGUGGUGAACUUCUGGAUAUAUCUUAAAGGUAGAGUCAACAGGAUUUCCUGGUGAAUCAAACAGGGAAUGUGAGGAAAAACCAAUAAGGACACCAAGGUUUUUCAACUUCAGCAAACACAGAACAGACUUGCUACUUACUAAAAUAGAGAGGGGAGAAGGGAGAAACUGAGGAGUUCAAUAUUGGACAUAUAAAAUAAAGAUGCAUGGGGCCAGGCACAGUGGCUCAAACUCAGCACUUUGGGAGGCCAAGGCAGAAGGACUGCUUGAGGCCAGGAGUUUGAGACCAGCCUAGGCAACAUAGCGAGACCCCCAUCUCUACAAAAAAUUUAAAAAUUAGCCAGGUGUGCUGAUGCAUGCCUGUAGUCCUAGCUACUCAGGAGGCUGAGGCAGGGGGAUCACUUGAGCCCAAGAGCUCAAGGCUGCAGUGAGCUAAGAUUGCACCACUGCACUUCAGUUUGGGCGACAGAGAUCCUGUCUCUUAAAAGAGAAAAAUUUGGGAAGAGUGUAGGUGAUAUUUGAAACCAUGAGACUAGAGGAAAUUACUAGAAUCAUAGAUAGGGUAAAAGGGCACAAGGAUUGAGUCCUAGCACUCACAAAUGCAGUAGUAAGAAUAACUAUUACUAGGAAAGUGGGGCCUCUCCCUCACCCCUGAGAUGAAUCCUAAUUAUUCUAAGCCAGUAUGACACUUGAUAGAGUAAGCCUGUGACUCAACUCUGGUCAGGACAAGGUUAAUAAGAUUGGCAGUUGUGGCAGGGGUGGAGGGUAGGGACACUGGUAGCAGAAACUUUCCCCUUCCAUUUAACAAUCAUGACUGCAUGACACCUGGAACUGUGGCAACCAUUAUGCAAUCAUUAGGGGAGUAAAGUCAAGAAGCUGAGGGUGGUAGAAGGCAAAGAUGAAAAAAACAUGGGUACCUCAUAAAUUGUUGAGCUGCUCAUCAACCAGCCUUAGAGCCACUCUACCCCUGGAUUUUUUAUUAUUUAAGCCAUUUAAUAAGGGUUUUCAUUACUUGUGGUCAAAAGUAUCUGGAUACAAUAAUCUCAUUUAAUUUUCAAAACAAUGCUUAGGGUGACAAGGAGUAAACAAACUCAAAAAAGGUUAAAGAAUUUGGCAAGGUCACUGAAGUAGCAAAUGGUGAUUUGAAGUUCAUCCGACUCCAAAGUCAAUUUGAACUGAUUAAGAGUUGUUGAUUUAAAGAAUGGACACAACUAAAAGACAAAGGGGAGUGGGAGUUGAGAAUUACUGACGUGAAUGGCAAAGAAGGAAAGCCAGCAAGUAAGAGAUGGAAAGAAAAGAGAAGUGUCAAGAGACUAGAGGAACGGAAGAAGUACAUUAGGAAACAAACUGACAAGAGGUCAUCUUGAGGAGAAUAUCAGACUUGAAGAUUUUUAUUGUUUGAGUUGUCUGGAUGAAGACUAGAUGCAGGCUGUGGCCAUAAGUAGUGAGGAAAUUGCAUUUCGAGUAGUUAAGGAUUAAUGUAGUAAUAUUUACUACAUGGCACACAUUAUUUUAUGCACUUAGGAUUCAGUGGUAUGUGAUCUGAGAUGAAGUUCCCGGGCUGUAACCUGGCCAGAAGCUUGAAGUCUUUACCCCAAGAUAUAAACAGAGCACAAGAAUCAGGCUGACAAUUGGGAUGACAAUGACUCACAUUCACUAGCUUGUUUCAAAUAAUUUAACAUACACUAGGAAAUUAAAUGUUUAAUGAAUGAAUGAUCUAUCUGAUCAUUCAGCUUCUCCCAUUCUGACUCUUCAAACCAUUGCUUAAUUAGCUACAGGAUAUUAUUGGUUAGACUGAUACAAAUAAUUGUCUGAAAACAAUAGGGAGUCUCUGCAAAGUGAUCCAUGGUUUCAAUCCACCUUCACUCACUAGCAUGCUCAAGACAAGACGAUUCUUCUUCCUCUUGUACCUAAGAAGCAGAAAACCUCCAACCCAAACACCGAUGCUUCAUAUAGAAGACAGUUCACAAAAUAAAGAGCACUGGAUUAGAAAUCUAGUCUUGGCUCUGCAAUUAAUCUUGGCACUUUGUAGAAGGCACUCAGCAAUCUGUGUUAUGGUUUCCUCCAAUAUAAAAUGAAACAAAUGGGCGAGAUUACCUUCAAGGUCUUUCCAAGACUGAUAUUCUAAGAAAAGUUUGUGUGAAACUACCCUUCAGUGCCAUCUGGCCUCAAAGGCCCUCCACAUUCAUAAUCAUAUGUAGCUUUGUAGGAAAAUGAUAAGUGGAAUAAAGAAUUCAACUUGAUAUUUAUUAAACUUUUACCAACAUAAAAGCAUACUGGGCAAACCAAAGAAUAAGACGCGGUCCUUGACAAGCCCUCUUUUAUACAGAGGAGGGGAAAAGGGAGAAGACAAAAUUUCUGUAUUCAUAACAUUUACUACAAUCUAGCCAGGGAAACAAAAUUUAAUUCACUUUAAUUCCUCAAAUAUUAAAUAUGUUUUGUGUAAAAGGGUAGUUUUCAAAUCUUGAUGAGUAGAAUCAACUAUGAUGCUUUCUGGAAAAAAAAAGAAAGAAAGAAAGAAAGAAAUAUAGAUUCCCCAAAACAUGAUUCAGUAGGUCCACGUACGGCUAAAAAGCACUCUUGAUGAUGCUGGUGACCUUUUGUUAAGAAACUCUGCCUUAGUCUAGCUAACAAAAAGUUUGAGUUAGUCCAGUUAAAAGAAAAACUUUCAAUUGAUUCAUGAAUAGGACAGACCCCAAUUGAAAGUAGUUCAAUGACUUAGGGCUGAAGGGAUAAGGAGGAUUUUCACAGGAUGAAUGCAGAAACAAGGCAAAGAAAACAUUUGAUUAAAGUGGAGCAACAGCCUGAUUUGGACCAUUCCAGUGAAAAGUCCCUAGUUAAAGGUUAAUUGGCAGUUUCUGAUUGGUUAAGACAGUUUACAUUGAAUUAGGUUUCAGUUUGCUUAUGUAGGAACACAGGGCACUGGAGGUACCCCAGUCUAAUCACUUCCCAUUUAAUUAUUUUAACAGUUUAAAAAAAGCUGUUUCUAGACCCUGAAUUCAUCUCAAGACUAUAUACCCAUAACUAGAAACAAACUGCAAGCCAUUAAAAAUAAGCAAAAGUCGGCCAGAGCUUGUACACUUGUGUAUUUCAGUGGUUCUCAAGUGUGUCUGCACUUUAGGAUUAACCUGUGGGGAAAAGCAAGAGAGAUCAGAUUGUUACUGUGUCUGUGUAGAAAGAAGUAGACAUAGGAGACUCCAUUUUGUUCUGUACUAAGAAAAAUUCUUCUGCCUUGAGAUUCUGUUAAUCUAUAACCUUACCCCCAACCCUGUGCUCUCUGAAACAUGUGCUGUGUCAACUCAGAGUUAAAUGGAUUAAGGGCGGUGCAAGAUGAGCUUUGUUAAACAGAUGCUUGAAGGCAGCACUCUCCUUAAGAGUCAUCACCACUCCCUAAUCUCAAGUACCCAGGGACACAAAAACUGUGGAAGGCCGCAGGGACCUCUGCCUACGAAAGCCAGGUAUUGUCCAAGGUUUCUCCCCAUGUGAUAGUCUGAAAUAUGGCCUCGUGGGAAGGGAAAGACCUGACCGCCCCCAAGCCCGACACCCGUAAAGGGUCUGUGCUGAGGAGGAUUAGUAUAAGAGGAAGGCAUGCCUCUUGCAGUUGAGACAAGAGGAAGGCAUCUGUCUCCUGCCCAUCCCUGGGCAAUGGAAUGUCUCGGUAUAAAACCCGAUUGUAUGUUCCAUCUACUGAGAUAGGGAAAAACCGCCUUAGGGCUGGAGGUGGGACCUGCGGGCAGCAAUACUGCUUUGUAAAGCAUUGAGAUGUUUAUGUGUAUGCAUAUCUAAAUGCACAGCACUUAAUCCUUUACCUUGUCUAUGAUGCAAAGACCUUUGUUCACGUGUCUGCUGACCCUCUCCCCACAAUUGUCUUGUGACCCUGACACAUCCCCCUCUUCGAGAAACACCCACGAAUGAUCAAUAAAUACUAAGGGAACUCAGAGGCUGGCGGGAUCCUCCAUAUGCUGAACGCUGGUUCAGCAUACUUUGUCUUUGUGUCUUUUUCUUUCCUAAGUCUCUCGUUCCACCUUACGAGAAACACCCACAGGUGUGGAGGGGCAACCCACCCCUACAUUAACCCAGGAAGCUUUUACGGAUUCACAUAUAGUCCAAUUAAAUCAGUUUCUGGGAGUAGGAGUUAGGGCUAACCUUUCUUUCUUUCUUUCGUUUUUGAGACAGAAUCUCGCUGUGUCACCCAGGAUGGAGUACAGUGGUGCGAUCUCAGCUCACUGCAACCUCC